rnacentral:lncRNA from 1 species
CAGCCAGCCAGCCAGCUCCCUUGAACUGUUCCUGAUCAGGGGUGGGCUGCUGCUGCCGCUGAUCCCCGCGGCUGAGGGAAGAGUCUGGUUACCAAAGGCUCGUCUGGGGUUUGCAGAAAAACAUCUGAAGGCUUAAAUUACAGCAAGUUGAUUUGCUCCGAAUCACACAGGGAUUUGGUAAUGAAGCUGAAAAGUCAUUCUCUCGAUGGCCCUUGGCUCAGUAGGACAAUGGCUUCUGCUUUGAACAGACACACCUUGGGAAGCCUGGCAGUGUGCUGUGUGUGUGUCUGCAUGCAUAUGUGUGUGUCUGCAUGCAUAUGUGUGUGUGUGUGUGUGUGUGUGUGUGUGUGUGUGUGUGUGUGUGAGAGAGUGCGUGCAUGCGUGUGCGUGUGUGAGUGUGUAGGGUGGAGCUGCUCUAGAUUCACAGGCCUAGCUUUUUGAUCUCUGACUGGAAAUCAGACUGGGCAAGUGACAGGCUGAUCGCCAGGGGUCACCAGAAAUGACACUCCUGGUGUUUCACUCUCUUUGGGUGGGAUGAGAUGAUCUGGAAAAAGAUUCUAUGACUGUUUGGUGCCUCGGGCCACAGCUGGGCUAAUUUUCAGUAAUCUUGGAACGGAAGAGAGAAAUACAGUUGGCAUAUUUUUAAAGCCACAGCUCUCGCUUUGUGCCCAAAAUAACUCUGCCAUUUCUAGGUUAAGAGUAUAAAGGCAUCACGUGCUCCAAAUCCCGAUUCAAACAUUGGAAUGACUGGUCUCAUACCUUCCCACUUCCCUAGCUUGAAAAAAAAAUCAAAUCAAACUUCUUCCAGGGUCUUCCACAACGCAGCCACAGCUCAAGCUGCCUGUUUUCUCUGUUUUAUUUCCUGGCUGCUUAGGUUCUCUAGGAUCUAGAAAAAGGAAUUUCCCUUUAUAGCAUUUCUUCUCAAAAACCUUAUCCACACCCCUCCAUGGCAGCUGACUAUGACACCCUAAGGGAUAAUGCUUAGAAUUCAGAUGUUUCAGAAUGGGGUCACAGAUUUGAAUAAGGACCUCAUCCUCGCUCCUCACAUGCUAUAAAACCUUGAGCAGUCAGUCUCUUGGCUCUCUCAGUGCCUACCAUUUUCAUGUGCAAAACAAAGAUGACAAUAUCCACCUAAUGGGAUUGUGAGCAUUAAAAGAGACAUGGCUCAUAAAUUACAGAGAAGAAUGCCUGGCACAAGGAGACACUGCAAUAAAGAAUAAUUAUCAUUAGUACAAAUACUGCUGUUAGCUUAUUUCUGUGGGCAGGACCUCCAAGAAAUCUCUUUUUCAGGGACCCUCAUCCCAGAGGGUCUGACCUUCUCAGGUGUCACUGAGGGUCACCUUUCCAGUUUAGAAGUGGCUGGGAGGGAGACAAUGAUUUUUCAAGGCCUCUGGAAAUGAUUGCUUAGUUAAGACUUGGAAGAAAGCACUCUAGAUUAGGUAUCAGUGGCCCUGGGAUGCUGGACAGUAGUGACAUGUGCCUUUAACCCAGCACUUGGGAGGCAGAGGAAGUCAGAUCUCUGUUAGUUCUGGGCCAGUCUGGUCUAAAGAACAAGUCCUAGGACAGCCAAAGCCUUGGGCUCAAACAUCAGUGCCACUAAUCUUUCUUCUCAUUUCUUCUAUACUAUUUCUAUAACAUUGCUUUAAUGGUUUCCACCUGUAAAACAAGUAAAAUACCUUCUUCUCCAGAGCUUUAUUACUUAUGCCACUAAAUAUUUAUUUACAACAAAGUGGUCAUUAUAGCAGGCGAUAAGGAUGUGGAUAUGAGUUGGGAAAGUGAAUACAAACAGGUGUCCUAUUCUUGAAGAGUUACAAUACAGUGAGAGAAAUAGGUGUGUAUAUGAGUUUUAUGGUAGAGUAACUGGCACAAACGUAAUGCUUGCCUUCCUACAGGAAGUGAAAUAGUUUGUCAUUUACAAAUAAAUUCUCUCUUCUCUCUGGGGGUAGUGCACGCUCCAGGUGAACAUGUGGAAGCAAAAGAACAACUCUGCGGAGCUGGUUCUCUCAUUCCACUUCCAUGUGGGUUCCAGGAAUUCAACUUGGGCUGCCAGGCUUGCAAGGAUAUGCACACACCUACCAGGACUGGCAUUGCCAUGACAACAGCUGAAGUCCAGGGUGAGCAGAAAACAUCACCUGUAAUGCCUCCAUUGAGCCCUUCAGAAUAUAGCUUCUUUACCCCAGGCUUCUGAAGACUGUGAAGUUAAAUGAAGAGCUUACCAGCAAAACAGAAGGAUUAAAAGGGAAAACAACUGCAAGAGGCACACACAUGAGUAAGAAGCAGUGCAAAGUGGGUCCAUGUUCCUUUAUGCCCCUGGUCACGGCCACUAUGGCAUUGGCAUAAAAGGACGGUCAGUGACAAGACACGGGAAGAGCUCAGAUACAAGUGGAAGAAGCCACAAGCACAAGAAAGAAACCUUCCAGAAACAAUUGCACCUUCAUCAUAAAGCACAUGAAGUCAGUGAAAAACAGGCUUUGUUUGAGACUGAAAACCAAGCUUGGAGAAGCAUUUUCCUUUUCUUCAAGGAGCAACAAAUAAAGGCUCCUCUCCCAGUGCCCAGGAGUGCAGCAGUGGGUGACUCAACUCUAAGGAUGUUGAACAAUCCAGGUAACCUCAGAGGACCUGUAUCUGGACCUACAAAUGGGAACUACUGGAUUCUAAACAUCAGGUCAUCAGUCAAAGCCAGAUAGUAGAUUACAAGCCAUGCAAUUAUUUCCCCCCAAACAUGAGUAAGCUGACUACAUAUGCGUUGAUGUUCCAUGCCAAACACUGCGAUGCAUUUAGGCACUUGGUUUUGUGUAGUCAGUAAGUAAGUCUGACACUGGAAUUCAGCUCAGCUCUUAUUCUAAAUAAUAUUAAUCUUUACACCAUUCCUCUUCAAAUGACAAAGAACACAGUUCUAAUGCCUCCAAGUACAAAGGACAUGGCAGAAGGCAGAGGACAGCCCUUUACCUUUGUGUAGUUGGUGUGGAGGUGUUUCAAAGAGCAUAGUUAGGUCACCAUGGAAUAGCUGAAAAAAAUGUGAGCCUGACCACUCCAUGAGGGUCAUGGGGCAUGUAUCAGCAGCCAGUAAGGGAGGAGAGCAAUGGAGAUUCUUCAUCUAUCUCCAUCAAAACUAUGGAUCCUGAACAGUUGAGCAAAAUGAUCUCCAGACUCCACCCCUGUCUAAGAAGCUGUUGGCUGUGGAUAGAUGAUGGGAAUAUUUUUUUUCUUGAGGAUGUGGUAACUGAUAGAUUUCCCAGUCUCCAGUGCAUGGCCCCACACCCUUGCAUAUAUGGGCAGCACUAACAGGACUUAAAGGGCUGUCAAAACAAAUGCCAUGGAGUUAGGGGGAUAGAGGGAAAGUUGGAAGGGGUAGAUGGAGAUUAAGUAGGAUCAUAUUCACUAUAUACACAUAUGAAACUCUCAAAUAUGAAAAAAUUUUAAAAUGAAUUUGGCUGCAACUGCUUUCUGACAAAUAGUAAAUGUAAGUGUAUGUAUGCAUAUAUAUUGGAUGUGUGUAUAUACACAUGUGUGUAUAUGUAUUCAUAUACACAUAUAUUUAUGCUUUAGGAAUAUUUAUCCCUAAUAUUCUUUUGAAUCUGAAGGACAGACCUGGUUCCAAAACAUGAAAUAAUCCAUAAAUGCUCCCAUUUUAUAUGUGGCUGGAGGUUUACACUGAUCAAUGUCAUUAAUGAGAGGAUAUAUUCAAAGCUAGCUCCUAAUUUACCAAACUAAUGUAUAAUGUCUUCAUGACGGCAAGACUAACCCUAGAGGUAGGGAGUGUGCUCAAGCAUGACUUUAUGUGUGGCUUUGGGUGGCUCUGACCUGCCUAGGUGCUUCCUCAUCCUACAACAGUUAGUAUGCUGAAAACACUCUCCUCUCUCACUCAUUCACUGAACCAGGACUGCAGAUUGGUUCAAUGGAGUCUUUCAUGUUCUUCCCCUUGCCAUCUGGCAAUAUUAGCUAUAUAAUAAAUUGCUUCAACUUGUGCAUUUUUGACCAACCGUACUUUUAGUUGACAUGUGAAACACUCAUACAUAGCAAAUGCUGCUUGAUUAGAAUAAAUAAAGUCCUUGGAAUUGC